rnacentral:rRNA from 1 species
UUACGCCUACGGGGGGCAGCAGUGAGGAAUAUUGGUCAAUGGCCGGGAGCCUGAACCAGCCAAGUCGCGUGAGGGAUGACGGCCCUAUGGGUUGUAAACCUCUUUUGCCGGGGAGCAAAGUGCCGCACGUGUGCGGUUUGGAGAGUACCCGGAGAAAAAGCAUCGGCUAACUCCGUGCCAGCAGCCGCGGUAAUACGGAGGAUGCGAGCGUUAUCCGGAUUUAUUGGGUUUAAAGGGUGCGUAGGCGGAAUGCCAAGUCAGCGGUAAAAUCGCGGGGCUCAACCUCGCUCGGCCGUUGAAACUGG